UUAUGGUGGGCACUCUAAGGAGACUGCCGGUGGACAAACCGGAGGAAGGUGGGGAUGACGUCAAGUCAUCAUGGCCCUUACGGCCUGGGCUACACACGUGCUACAAUGGUCGGUACAAAGGGUUGCCAAGCCGCGAGGUGGAGCUAAUCCCAUAAAACCGAUCGUAGUCCGGAUCGCAGUCUGCAACUCGACUGCGUGAAGUCGGAAUCGCUAGUAAUCGUGAAUCAGAAUGUCACGGUGAAUACGUUCCCGGGCCUU
rnacentral:rRNA from 1 species